rnacentral:rRNA from 1 species
GUCCAGACUCCUACGGGAGGCAGCAGUGGGGAAUAUUGCACAAUGGGCGAAAGCCUGAUGCAGCAACGCCGCGUGAAGGAAGAAGGGUUUCGGCUCGUAAACUUCUAUCAACAGGGACGAAAGAAAUGACGGUACCUGAAUAAGUAGCCCCGGCUAACUACGUGCCAGCAGCCGCGGUAAUACGUAGGGGGCAAGCGGUAAUCGGAAUUACUGGGCGUAAAGCGCUCGUAGGCGGUAUGUCAAGUCAAGGGUGAAAUCCCCGCGCUCAACGUGGGAACUGCCUUUGAAACUGGCAAACUGGAGUGUGUGAGAGGAUAGUGGAAUUCCAGGUGUAGGAGUGAAAUCCGUAGAUAUCUGGAGGAACAUCAGUGGCGAAGGCGACUAUCUGGCACAUAACUGACGCUGAGGAGCGAAAGCGUGGGUAGCAAACAGGAUUAGAUACCCUCGUAGAC